CAAAACAGGCAUGGUGAUGUCCCUCCUGGGGAGUUACUGGAAAGAUUCCAUGAGCUGCAGGCACACGGAGCCGUGAGGGCUCAGUCAACAGGGGAUAUUGUUACUAAGCACUAACAAAGGGGCACUGAGCAAAUGGGAAGGGUGUAGAGGAUGGGGCAGAGGGCUGAGCAGUUAGUUGGGCAAAGGCAAGUGGGGAGAGAAGGACCCUGGAGAACGAGGGACUGGGGGGAGCAGGGGGUGGGGAGUGGCCAGUCCUUCCAGGCCCAGAGCGCAGCUUGUGCAAAGGCCCAGAGGCACAGCUGUGUGCGAGGGGAGAGCCCGCGGUAAGGGGUGGAGCGGAGGGAAAAAAAGAGGCCUGGGAGGCUCCCUGUGCUGAGGCCGGAAGCUCUUUGGGGACCAGGGGUGGGUUGGGGGCAGCCAUGCGCCAACGGCCUCUCCUGUCCCAGCCCUGCGGCUGCUGAACAGUGGCAAGACGUUCUCGAGGGUGGAGGCGACGCUGAGCUGGUCUGAGGCCCUGCGGUACUGCCGGCGGCACCACACGGACCUGGCCGACCUGCAGAGCAUGAACAGCGUGAGCAGCAUAAGCUCCCUCUACUCCCUCACGAGCAGCACCGAGGCGUGGAUCGGCCUCUUCUUCGACGUGCGCGUGCGCGGCCUGAGCUGGUCCAGCGGCUCCACCUUCGCGGCGCCCGUGUGGAGCUCGCUGCCGGUGUUCGCCGAGGGCGUCUGCGCCACUCUGUAUUCCGUAUCCGUCUUCCCCAACCUCGGGGCCGCCUCGUGCACGGCGCAGAAGCCCUUCAUCUGCUACUACGACCCUGCUGUGGGGCACCGCACCCCCACAGAGCCCGCUCUCAGCCCAACCACCUCUCCAAAGCCAGCUGUGGUCCAGAUUGGCCGACAGACCUUCAUGCGAUUUGACCAAGAAAUGACCUGGCCGGAGGCCCUGCGGUAUUGCCACAGCCACCACACGGACCUGGCCGACCUGCAGAUGGUGACCGACGAGGCGGGCAAGGAGGCCUUGAAGUCCAUCACGAGUGAGACCGAGGCCUGGAUCGGCCUCUACUUCGACGCGACCUCUGGGUCUCUGAGCUGGUCGAGCAACCUGGGUGCCAGCAUCCCCACCUGGCUUCAAGUGCCCGAGCUGGGGACGGGACUGUGUGCGGGGCUCCGCACCUACGCGCGCUACUCCCCCCGAGUGUAUUCGUUGGCCUGCUCUUCCCUGAGACCCUUCAUCUGCUUCUAUGACCCUUCCGUUGGGCACCGGGAGUCCACAGCUCUCCAGCCAUCCUUUCACGCUCCCUCCUCAGAAGUGGCCGCGGAGACCAUGCGCAGGCCAACUGUGACCACUGAAGGAAGUGGCAGUGCCGUGAGAGAGACAGCCGCCCCCACUCAGGCCCAACGCGUGAGCUCACCCGAACACCCAGAGUCUAAAGGCAAAACUCCGGCGCCAGCAUCAGGGCAGGUCUUUGGAAUCCUGAAAGCGGAUUUUACCAUCCCAGCUCUCCUGGACCCAGAAGAUGUGAAAGACCAAUUUUUGAGUGAGAUAACCUGGCAAUAGAGGGCUGCAUAAUUUUUCCAAACGCUUUGGGCAUUUAAUCUUCCCAAGUAGGCAGCCCUCUAAGGAGCUCCCACAAUGCCAACAAGAAAUAUGCACCAUCAAAAGCACAUCUGAUUUUUCUGUGUCGCCCCCAGCCCUCCAGUACAGGCUUUCUGCAGCACAGUCGAAGGCUUUUAUAAAGAAAGGA